rnacentral:ncRNA from 2 species
AAGGACCUUCGGGGGAUGGUGGAAUUCCACACCGGCGGUGAUCCUCAUUUAGAGGUAAGCCCGCGAGCCCGAUAUCCGAUCGAGAAAGGCCCCGCGGUUAAAAGGCAACUGUGACCGGAAUCAGGGCCUUCAGAGAGCGGGUUGAUCCGGUGAAAGUCCGGAGCCGACAGUUAAAGUCUGGAAGGGAGAAGGAAUUU